AUCUACGGCCGUACCACCCUCAGCACGCCUGAUCGCGUCUGACAUCGGGAGCUAAGCAGGGUCGUUCUUGUUAGCGGUUGGAA
rnacentral:rRNA from 1 species